AGGGCACCACCAGGAGUGGAGCCUGCGGCUUAAUUUGACUCAACACGGGAAAACUCACCCGGCCCGGACACUGGAAGGAUUGACAGAUUGAGAGCUCUUUCUUGAUUCAGUGGGUGGUGGUGCAUGGCCGUUCUUAGUUGGUGGAGUGAUUUGUCUGGUUAAUUCCGAUAACGAACGAGACUCUAGCCUACUAAAUAGAUCGUCGGCUUACAAACGCCGGCGAGACUUCUUAGAGGGACAGGCGGUGAUUCAACCGCACGAAACAGAGCAAUAACAGGUCUGUGAUGCCCUUAGAUGUCCGGGGCCGCACGCGCGCUACACUGAAGUGAUCAGCGUGCUUUUUCAACCUACUCUGUCAAGAGUGGGGAACCCAAUGAACCUUCUUCGUGAUUGGGAUAGGGGAUUGUAAUUAUUCCCCUUGAACGAGGAGUUCCCAGUAAGCGCGAGUCAUAAGCUCGCGUUGAUUACGUCCCUGCCCUUUGUACACACCGCCCGUCGCUACUACCGAUUGAAUGUUUU
rnacentral:rRNA from 1 species